GAUGAACGCUGGCGGCGUGCUUAACACAUGCAAGUCGAACGAUGAAGCCCAGCUUGCUGGGUGGAUUAGUGGCGAACCGGUGAGUAACACGUGAGUAACCUGCCCUUGACUCUGGGAUAAGCCUGGGAAACUGGGUCUAAUACUGGAUAUGACUUCUCAUCGCAUGGUGGGGGGUGGAAAGAUUUAUUGGUCUUGGAUGGACUCGCGGCCUAUCAGCUUGUUGGUGAGGUAAUGGCUCACCAAGGCGACGACGGGUAGCCGGCCUGAGAGGGUGACCGGCCACACUGGGACUGAGACACGGCCCAGACUCCUACGGGAGGCAGCAGUGGGGAAUAUUGCACAAUGGGCGCAAGCCUGAUGCAGCGACGCCGCGUGAGGGAUGACGGCCUUCGGGUUGUAAACCUCUUUCAGUAGGGAAGAAGCGAGAGUGACGGUACCUGCAGAAGAAGCGCCGGCUAACUACGUG
rnacentral:rRNA from 1 species